rnacentral:rRNA from 1 species
UCUUAUGGCCAUUCCACCUUUGCUCUGCCCGAUCCCGUCAGACCUCGGAAGUUAAGCAGGGAAGGGCCUGGUUGGUACUUGGAUGGGAGACUGUAUGGGAAACACCAGGGAGCUUAGGCG